rnacentral:rRNA from 1 species
UAGGGAAUAUUGGGCAAUGGAGGCAACUCUGACCCAGCAACACCGCGUGAAUGAUGAAGGUCUUCGGAUUGUAAAGUUCUGUGAUGGGGGACGAAAACAAUGACGGUACCCCAAGAGCAAGCCACGGCUAACUACGUGCCAGCAGCCGCGGUAAUACGUAGGUGGCAAGCGUUGUCCGGAAUGACUGGGCGUAAAGGGUGCGUAGGUGGCUAUUCAAGUUAGUAGUGAAAUCCCGGGGCUCAACUCCGGUGCUACUACUAAGACUGUUUAGCUUGAGUGCAGGAGGGGCAAGUGGAAUUCCUAGUGUAGCGGUGGAAUGCGUAGAUAUUAGGAGGAACACCAGUGGCGAAGGCGACUUGCUGGACUGUAACUGACACUGAGGUACGAAAGCGUGGGGAGCAAACAGG